rnacentral:rRNA from 1 species
UACGUAUGGUGCAAGCGUUAUCCGGAUUUACUGGGUGUAAAGGGAGCGUAGGCGGCGCGUUAAGUCUGAUGUGAAAACCCGAGGCUCAACCACGGGAGUGCACUGGAAACUGGCGUGCUGGAGUGCCGGAGAGGUAAGCGGAAUUCCUAGUGUAGCGGUGAAAUGCGUAGAUAUUAGGAGGAACACCAGUGGCGAAGGCGGCUUACUGGACGGCAACUGACGCUGAGGCUCGAAAGCGUGGGGAGCAAACAGG